AUACGAAUGGGAUGAUGAAGUUUAGUACUCAGUUUUUGGAGAAAGUGAAUACGAGGGAGGAGGUGGGGAUUUGUACUCAGUCUUAGGGGAAGGUGAAUAGUAUGGUGGUGGUGGAGAGCUGUAAACAUAUGGUGGUGGGGGUGAUUUGUAGUGCACCUUAGGAGAAGGAGAGUAGUAUGGUGGUGGUGGAGAGCUGUAGACAUACGGUGGUGGGGGAGACUUAUAGUAUACCUUUGGAAAAGGUGAGUAGUAUGGUGGUGGUGGAGAACUGUAUACAUAUGGUGGAGGAGGAGACUUGUAUACAACCUUAGGGGAUGGAGAAUAACAUGGAGGAGGUGGUGGACAAACACAUACAUGAGGAUGUCGUGGAGCCUUGUAGUGAACCUUUGGAGAAGGUGAGUAGUAUGGUGGUGGUGGAGAACUGUAGACAUAUGGUGGUGGAGAAGACUUGUAGUACACCUUAGGGGAAGGCGAGUAGUAUGGUGGUGGUGGAGAGCUGUAAACAUAUGGUGGUGGAGGAGACUUGUAAUACACCUUAGGGGAAGGCGAGUAGUAUGGUGGUGGUGGAGAGCUGUAGACAUAUGGUGGUGGUGGAGACUUGUAGUAUACCUUAGGGGAAGGCGAGUAAUAUGGUGGUGGAGGAGAGCUGUAGACAUAUGGUGGUGGAGGAGAUUUGUACUCAACCUUAGGAGAAGGUGAGUAGUAAGGUGGUGGUGGAGAACUGUAAACGUAUGGUGGUGGAGGAGAUUUGUAGUCUACCUUAGGAGAGGGCGAGUAGUAAGGUGGUGGUGGAGAACUGUAAACGUAUGGUGGUGGUGGAGAUUUGUAGUCCACCUUAGGAGAAGGUGAGUAGUAAGGUGGUGGUGGGGAACUGUAGACAUACGGUGGGGGAGGAGAUUUGUAGUCAACCUUAGGAGAAGGCGAAUAGUAAGGUGGUGGUGGAGAACUGUAAACGUAUGGUGGUGGAGGAGACUUGUAGUCUACUUUAGGAGAAGGAGAGUAGUAAGGUGGUGGUGGGGAACUGUAAACGUAUGGUGGUGGAGGAGAUUUGUAGUCCACCUUAGGAGAAGGUGAAUAGUAAGGUGGUGGUGGGGAACUGUAAACAUACGGUGGUGGUGGAGACUUGUAGUCUACCUUAGGAGAUGGUGAGUAGUAUGGUGGUGGUGGAGAGCUGUAUACAUAAGGUGGGGGAGGAGAUUUGUAGUCAACCUUUGGAGAAGGCGAAUAGUAAGGUGGUGGUGGAGAACUGUAAACGUAUGGUGGUGGAGGAGAUUUGUAGUCUACCUUAGGAGAGGGCGAGUAGUAAGGUGGUGGUGGAGAACUGUAAACGUAUGGUGGUGGUGGAGAUUUGUAGUCCACCUUAGGAGAAGGUGAGUAGUAAGGUGGUGGUGGAGAACUGUAAACGUAUGGUGGAGGAGGAGACUUGUAGUCUACCUUAGGAGAGGGCGAAUAGUAUGGUGGUGGUGGAGAAUCGUAAACAUAUGGUGGGGGAGGAGAUUUGUAGUCCACCUUAG
rnacentral:lncRNA from 1 species